UUGAUUUUUAAACUUUUUAAAAAUCUAAGGUUUAAUUUGGAAUUAAAGUAUUAAAGUGUAAGAAUUUUCAAAUUCCAAAACUUGAGGGCAAGAAUUGAAACUAUUCCAAGUCUCUUCAAUUUGUAACUUAUGANAAGACUUUACAAAUUCCAAAACUUGAGGGCAUGAUUUGAAACUAUUCCAAGUCUCUUCAAUUUGUAAGUUAUGAGUUUUAAUGGUUCGUAAAAAUGAAGACUCUUCAUUUUAUGAAACCUCUUUAUUUCUUUCAUCACAAUUUAAAGAAGUGACUUUUGGUUAUCCAUAACUUGAGGACAAGUUAUGGACACCAUCACUGCCAUUAAGAUCAUGAAUUAAACAUAUAUGGAGGUUACACAUAAUUCCUUUGAUCUUCUAAAAACUCAUAAGAACACAAAUUCAUGUCAAGCAAUUUCAAGAAAUCAUAUAAACAUAUACAAUACUUGAAAAUUCAUAAAAGUCAUGCAAAAAAUGGGUUAACAUAAUCAUUAUCAUUUUGAAAAACAUAUUUUACAAGUCCAAAAUAGAUUGGGAUAAUGAUUUUAAUCCAUUUCCAGCAACAAAACACGAAAAUAUGCCCAACACGCUCCUACUCAUCGAGUGCAUUAUCCUACUCGACGAGUAGGAUGAAUUUGUUCAUGGACUCG
rnacentral:lncRNA from 1 species